rnacentral:lncRNA from 1 species
UAUAUCAGUUAACGUUUUCUAUAUAUCCAAUUAAGGUGUAAUACCACCAAAUCAUGGUACGUCACAUUCGGUUGUAUACGAAAGUAGGUCUAAAAAAAAUAUUCCCUUGAAUUUGACAGUUGUAGAAAAUUAACCUGCAUUUCAAUGCACUUAAUUUUUCUGAUCAUAAAACAUGUAUGUUGGGUGUCUGAAAGCAUCAUUCCUUUUUUAUUUGCUGGUCUUAUAAAAUAUUUUGGAAAGUUAAGGUUACAUAGUUACCAAAUCAGGUAACCAGUAAAUAACAGUGUAAAAUUGGUUGUUUACUUCCGGUGAUGGUUACUUUCUAUAUGCCAAUGAGAAUGUAGUGUGAAAUUUUCACUGUGCACUGGAAAGGAUUAAACUUUAUACAUGCAAAGUAUUUCUUUGGUUGAAUAAAAGGUAAAUACUGAAUUUUUUAAAGUGCCAAUUUAACAAAGACUAAUAGGGGAAAAUCAAUGGUGGUAUUACACCUUAAUAGUUUUAAAAACAUGCUUUGUAAAUUCACUAUUUCCUUUUUGUAAAAUGGUGAAGUGUCGUUCUUUUAUGUGCAGUAAAAUUUCAAUCAUUAUUACAUUAUGCCCCAAUUAUAAUUUUAAAAUAACUUCCCUUUUUGUCUUAAAAUUCUUGGUUUCUCUAGUUGAAUAAAUGUAAUAGUUACGUGUAAAGAGGUCUUUAUCAGGGAAAGAUGUUCUUCCCUUUGGUACAGUAGAAUUAGCCCCAACAUUGAUAAUGCCUACGCCAGUGGCUUCAGUUUUAUUAAUGUUUCUGCUAACAAUACCUACUUGGGCAGAUGAUACAUGAUGAUGAUGAUAACUCCCUCUUCAUAAGUAUCUAUUAAGGAAAUAAUCUUAUUUAAAUAUCUGUAUGUAGAUUUUAGAUCUUACUUGUUCUGGAUUAAAACAUCACGAAUAGGAAUUUUUAAUUACAUUUGUCUGUUUAUAUUAAAAAAAUCAUAAGGAAAAUAACAAACCAAUUGAUGGAAAGACAAGACUGUUAAAAAGACAAAAACAAAGCAAUGAAUAAUUUUGAAAACAAUAUCGACCUACAUGCACAUCAAUACUUGUGUACAUAUGUAAUUGUGGAAUAUGAAAAAAAUAAUCAACCUUUCUCAUUAUAAAAAUAAACUCGGCAGUUUACACAGAAAAUUUGACAUCAACAAACCAAAUACAUGUGUACAACAUCAUGUUUUACCAACCCUUUAUACAAUUGAAUGUUGUUUUGCAUUUACAACAAUGUUUAAUGAAUUAUAAAUUGAAUAUGCAUGUCCAUAAGGCACAAUACUAAGUGUGUACUCCUGAAACUUGAUAUUUUUUUCAUUAAUUUUAUAUAUAUUUACAAAAUAAACAUUACAAAUCUACAGAAAUCACAUUGCACUAAAAAAAACUACAGGUUGUACUACAUUAAGACAGGUAACACUUAUAAAGUGAUAAAAACAUAGAAAUAUGUUUGUUUUGUACAUAAAGCCAUCUGCAAUACAAAAUAAGUUUUUUCUUUAUCUUUUCUUGUUUAAUUCUUAAAUAAUUGAUACAUGUUUUAAUGGAACAGCACUAAGCAUGUUUAAGAUUUCUCAGAUACCUAAUAUAAAUAUGCAACAAUAUUUAUUUUCUGCCAUGUACUAUUUUCUAUUAAAUUUAUAUAAAUCAAUGUUUGGCUUAACUAUUAUAAUUCUAUAUAAAUUUUAAAAACAGAUCAACAGUGUAUAAAAAUAUAUGGAAUGUAAGAAAUAUUUUAAACAAAAAAGUAAAAACAUAACUUAAGGAUAUGUUACAAAUAUUAUAAAAGCCACUACUGUACUUAUAUAUGAUAAAAAUUUUGGUAAAAAAUACUUUUUAAACCACACUUAAUUUACCAGUUUUCUUUGGGUUUAUUUCAAUAACAAAAAGGCAAGUUAAAAAUUUUGUUUUAUUUUUUGUUUCCUGCUAAAUACUGAUUAAAUGACAAAUUAUGAUAAUAAAACAAUACAGUUGUCUAUUUUUUUUUAAUUCACCUUUUAGUAAUAGGGGAGUAAAAAGUGUGGGUAAAUAGAUGUUUUCCAUACAAUUUUAAUCAUGGAAUUACACAACAAGAACAUCAAAGAACAGAAAAUAUGAGUGUGGUCUAAAGAUACAAAUGUACAUCUAUAAAUAUAUCAUCAUGCUUCAAAUGAAAAGAUGUCUUCAAAGCAAAAACAACAGCAAAGUAUAUCACAUGCUAUUAUUUACAAUAUUACAUUAAAAUUCAUAUUGUCACCAGCCGACCACUGCUAUUAAAAAAACACUUCUCUUGUGUUGAAAAAAAUACUGAAGGAUGGUAAUAUGAGGGGAAAAAAACAUCAUAGAUCUAAUAAUCACAUCAUUAAAAAUGGAUUUAAGUUUAAGUUAUGAGGUGUUCUCUUUCAGCCACUGAGGCUUUGAAUUAUGUAUUUCAAUAUUUUAAAUCAAAAUAAUUAGCAAGUCAGUGCUCUCUGGGAAACUUUACCUAGCCUGUAAUUACAGUUAAAAAAAGGUUUAUAUAAGUUCACAGAUUCAGGAAAUAAUAAUAUAAAGAAAGAUAUAAUGGUGUGUGAACGAUCUAAUAUUAUAUAAUUUCAUUAUUUUGUAAUAUAAGGCCAGACAGAUCUUCGCCAUUUAUUAAAUUAUUUGGAAUGUUUUCAGUUUAAUUACAUAAAUUUUACAUGUACAGUCUUGUAUGUCAUACUCAAGUACACAAAAUGUUUCAAUGACUAUUCAUGACUAAAAACAUGACAAUUGUUACAAAAUUAACCAAAAUAGCUACACUUAUACUGAAAAUGGAUAAAACUGUUUCAAAACUUACUGGAUAAAGAGAGUGGAAACUGUGAAUUCUAUAACUUAAAUGGAUAUUAGUUUUGAAGGCCGAAUUUUUUUCUUCAAAAUUAUGAAUUCAAGACUUUAUUUUCUGUUUUUGGUGAAUAUGUCAUGUA